UUACGGCCAGAUCACGUUGAAACAUUAAUUCUCGCUCGAUCACCAAAGUUAUGCAACGUCGAGCCUGGCCAGUACCUGGGUGGAUGACCGAUUGGGAAUAUCAGGUGCUGUAAG